UUAGUUGCGUGUCUAUUGUGCGCUAGUCGCGCCGUUCCGCGAACUGCACGGGAACGGCGGCGGCAACAUCAUCGAAUUGCUGGGAACCCUCGAUAGGCCGGAGGUACUAAAGGCUCGGGGAAACCCGGGUCAAAUCGAGCUUAGACGCCCGCAGUAAAAACCCUUCGGAUAGAGGCAAUCAGCAGCCAAGCGCCUAAAGCCGCGUGUAUUACAGUGUAUUACAGUUGGGUAUGCAUGUAUUACAAGCGGUCACGGUGAAGGUCCAGAGACUAAGUGGUGAUGGGUGUCGGCGCGGUUGACCGCGCCGAUGCUUAAGAUAUAGUCCGCCCCUCUUGAGAGAGAGCU
rfam:Aureococcus anophagefferens unplaced genomic scaffold ATRANscaffold_11, whole genome shotgun sequence.